UACGAAGGGGGCUAGCGUUGCUCGGAAUCACUGGGCGUAAAGCGCACGUAGGCGGAUUGUUAAGUCAGGGGUGAAAUCCUGGAGCUCAACUCCAGAACUGCCUUUGAUACUGGCGAUCUCGAGUCCGGGAGAGGUGAGUGGAACUGCGAGUGUAGAGGUGAAAUUCGUAGAUAUUCGCAAGAACACCAGUGGCGAAGGCGGCUCACUGGGACGGUACUGACGCUGAGACGCGAAAGCGUGGGGAGCGAACAGG
rnacentral:rRNA from 1 species